rnacentral:rRNA from 1 species
CGGCAGGCUUAAUACAUGCAAGUUGAGGGCAGCAUGAUAUACGCGAGUAUAUUGAUGGCGACCGGCGGACGGGUGAGUAAUAGGUAGGAGACCUACCUCAUACAGGGGGAUAGCAUAGAGAAAUCUGUGGUAAUACCCCAUGAGGUUAUAUGAAUAGAGGCAUAUAAUCAAAGCAUAAGCGAUUAUGCGGUAUGAGAGGGGCCUACUGACCAUUAGCUAGUUGGUGAGGUAAGGGCUCACCAAGGCGAAGAUGGUUAGGGGUUUUGAGAGAGAGACCCCCCACAUUGGAACUGAGAGACGGUCCAGACUCCUACGGGAGGCAGCAGUGAGGAAUCUUGCGCAAUGGGGGGAACCCUGACGCAGCAACGCCGCGUGAGUGAGGAAGGCCUUCGGGUCGUAAAGCUCUGUCAGAUGGGAAGAAAUGGGUGGGGGCUAAUAUCGUCCAUCCUUGACGGUACCAUCAGAGGAAGCACCGGCUAACUCCGUG